GAUGAACGCUGGCGGCGUGCCUAAUACAUGCAAGUCGAGCGAACAGAUAAGGAGCUUGCUCCUUUGACGUUAGCGGCGGACGGGUGAGUAACACGUGGGUAACCUACCUAUAAGACUGGGAUAACUUCGGGAAACCGGAGCUAAUACCGGAUAAUAUUUCGAACCGCAUGGUUCGAUAGUGAAAGACGGUUUUGCUAUCACUUAUAGAUGGACCCGCGCCGAAUUAGCUAGUUGGUAAGGUAACGGCUUACCAAGGCGACGAUACGUAGCCGACCUGAGAGGGUGAUCGGCCACACUGGAACUGAGACACGGUCCAGACUCCUACGGGAGGCAGCAGUAGGGAAUCUUCCGCAAUGGGCGAAAGCCUGACGGAGCAACGCCGCGUGAGUGAUGAAGGUCUUCGGAUCGUAAAACUCUGUUAUUAGGGAAGAACAUACGUGUAAGUAACUGUGCACGUCUUGACGGUACCUAAUCAGAAAGCCACGGCUAACUACGUG
rnacentral:rRNA from 1 species